AAAUGGGAAACACGAGUGAUGGUUGACAGUUCUAUAAGGCUGUGUGUCCAGAGGGUAAAAGAAUUAAUGAUCAGCAUCAAACCAACCCACAGAAAACAGAAUUACAGAGCUGGAAGAGACCUUGGAGGUCAUCUAGUCCUACCUCGAGAAGAUAGAUCCUGCUUCCAAUGAUAGUUUUUGAGAAAAGGAUGUGACUUCAGGAAUUUGUGGUAGCUGAAGACCUACGUCCCCCUCCUUAUUUGAUCCUUGACUGCCACAUGGAAAAGACAUAAUUCCAGCAAGGUGGAAUUACAUACUGGGACAUAAAACAUCUUGCAGAUGGUGGAAUUUCAAAGCCUAUAUAUUAUUUUUUAAAAGGUGUAUUUGUAGAACUGCGAAGAGGUUUUUGUCUUGCA